AUUGAACGCUGGCGGCAGGCCUAACACAUGCCAGUCGAGCGGAUGAAGGGAGCUUUCUCCUGGAUUCAGCGGCGGACGGGUGAGUAAUUCCCAGGAAUCUGCCUGGUAGUUGGGGAUAACUUCCGGUAACGGGCGCUAAUCCCGCAUACGUCCUUAGGUAGAACGCCGGGGUUCUUCGGACUUCACGCUAUCAGAUGAGCCUCGGUCGCAUUAGCUCGUUGGUGUGGUAAAGGCCUACCAAGGCGACGUUCCGUAACUGAUCUGCGAGGCUGACCAGUCACACUGGAACUGAGACACGGUCCAGACUCCUACGGGAGGCAGCAGUAGGGAAUAUUCGACAAUGGGCGAAAGCCUGACCCAGCCAUGCCGCGUGAGUGAUGAAGGUCUUCGGAUUGUAAAGCGCUUUAAGUCGGGAGGAAGGGCAGUAAGUUAAUACCUUGCUGUUUUGACGUUACCAACAAAAUAAGCACCGGCUAACUCCGUG
rnacentral:rRNA from 1 species